UCAAUAUAGAAGAUAUUAAAUUAAUUCAAAAAAUAAAAGAAAAAAUUAAAAAUAUAUCAGACCUAAAAAUUUCAUUAGAAUCAGAUUAUCUAAUCAUUCAAACCGACGGAAGUGAUUUAGGAUGGGGAGCUAUUUUAAAAGCACGACCUAAUAAAUACAGUAAUAAAAUUGAAGAACAAAUAUGUGGUUAUCAGAGUGGGGCAUAUAAAGAAAAAGGAAACAUGAGUGUUAUAGACCUAGAAGUAUUAGGUAUAAUAUAUGGGUUAAAUAGUUUUAAGUUAUAUAUUCUAAAUAAAGAGGAAAUUUUAGUUAGAACAGAUUGUAAAGCUAUAGUUAAAUUUCAUCAAAAAAUAAAUGACUAAACUAGUAGUAGAAGAAGAUGGGUAAAUUUUACAGACACCAUAUCUGUUUAUAAGAAUAUCGUAUUUGAACAUAUAAAAGGUAAAGAAAACGAAUUAGCAAACCAGUUAAGUAGAUUACAAUUGGGAAUAAAUAAAUAAGUUUAAUCCGAUUCAUUUGUUUUCAGUAUGAGACCAACAGGACAACCUCCUGCAGAUAAAGGCAAGGGCGUAGCUUCGUCUUCAGAUUCAUAUCAACAGACAAUGUUAGGUAAUUUAAAUUUUAGACCACUAGAAUCUUUAGAAACAAUGGAAAGAAUUCACUUCGGACCAUUUAACUUAAUUGCUUACCCUGAGAGUAACAUAUCAUUUAGAAUAAGACCAGACUACAUUCUAGAUAGACCCCAAAAGUAUUUAGUAGACAAUCUUUGGAUAUCUUAUAAUAGACAAAAUCGUAAUCAUUUUAUGGCAUCCAUGAAUUCUUUAUGCCAUUAUAUGGCAGAAAAAAGUAGGCCUAAGUCUAAAUAUUAUAUAGUCAUUCAUGGAAAGAUUAACGGAAUUUUUCAAACAUGGUUAGAAGUGCUAGAUUCAAUACAAGGUUUUAAAACCUCUCUUUUCAAAGGUUUUAAUGAUUUUAUCGAAGCCAAAAAUCAUUCUAGAGGAUAUUAGGACCAAACUAUUAUAUAUCACCAUCACUCAGACAGAACCCAGUUCAAAUACGUCAGUAUAAUUUAUAAAAAGAGACUAGAAAGAUUAUUUUCUGCAACCAUUGUUCUUCUAUGACGGAGAAUUUCAAGAAGCUAAAUGCUCAGAAAGAAUCACUCCUCAUGAAAAACACUAGAUUAAUAAAGCAGGUAUAAUUAUUAGAAGCAAGACUCACAAAUGUAAGCAAGACAGAUGCAAAAACACAGACUCAGAUACAGAGUUCUCCAUCUCCUCAAAAAAUGGAUGAGAAGGGUGUGCAUUUCCCACUAAAUGCUCAGAAAUCCUCUGUACCGGAUGUUGGUACAGCUAGUCUGAUUUAAACGGUGAUCGAUAAAGACAAAUCAAAACCGUUAAUGGCUGUCACUUUGCCAAAAAGUGAAGAUGAAGGAUGUUCUUCAUCAAAACAUAAGUUAGCAAAAUCAGGUAAUAAGAUUUUAAAGAAUUUAAUAACUAAAAGGAAAAAUAAAACAAUAAAGACUAUAAUUAAACAGACUUUAGACAAAUUCUUUAACAACCAGACACAAGAUAAACAUAUGAAUGGACAACCCACUACCAAUUCAGACAGAACUGUUUCAGAAAUAAAUAAUGCAGACAAUAAUUCUUCAAGAUCAGACGAAGAUGAUAGUACAGGGCAAUUGAGUCGAAACUCAUUCUUGAGUCAUUGUCUUCGUAUGGAUCCUGAG
rnacentral:lncRNA from 1 species